rnacentral:rRNA from 1 species
AUUGAACGCUGGCGGCAUGCUUUACACAUGCAAGUCGGACGAGUGGCGAACGGGUGAGUAACAUAUCGGAACGUACCGAGUAAUGGGGGAUAACUAAUCGAAAGAUUAGCUAAUAACGCAUAUUAUACGAGCUGCCGAUAUCUGAUUAGCUGGUUGGUGGGGUAAAGGCUUACCAAGGCGACGAUCACUCGCGGGUCUGAGAGGUUGAUCCGCCGCACUGGGACGUAGGCACGGCCCAGACUCCUACGGGAGGCAGCAGUGGGGAAUUUGGGACAAUGGGCUGAAGCCUUAUCCAGCCAUGCCGCGUGUCUGAAGAAGUCCUGCGGGUUGUAAAGGACUUGUGUCAGGGAAGCGGUACCUGAAGAAUAAGCACCGGCUAACUACGUGCCAGCCGCCGCGGUAAUUC